UAUCAAUCCUCGCGCCAUGGUUCCUGCGGGCACAUCGUUCGCAGGCUAAGAGGGAAGCCGGUCAGAUACCGGCGCUGCCCCCGCAACUGUAGGCGGAGAGCCAAGCCCACUCAUGUCACUGAGGCGAAAGUCUCGGGAAGACGGGCAAAGGCGACGACCCGCGAGCCAGGAGACCUGCCACGGCGAAGUAACGUCC
rnacentral:ncRNA from 1 species